UACAGAGGGUGCGAGCGUUAAUCGGAAUUACUAGGCGUAAAGCGCACGUAGGUGGCGACGUAAGUCGGGUGUGAAAACCCCGUGCUCAACCUGGGAAUUGCAUUCGAGACUGCAUUGCUGGAGUACGGAAGAGGAGGGCGGAAUUCCCGGUGUAGCGGUGAAAUGCGUAGAUAUCGGGAGGAACAUCAGUGGCGAAGGCGGACCUCUGGUUCAGUACUGACACUCAAGUUACAAAGCGUGGUUAGCUAACAGC
rnacentral:rRNA from 1 species